rnacentral:rRNA from 1 species
GUAGGUGGCGAGCGUUAUCCGGAAUGAUUGGGCGUAAAGGGUGCGUAGGUGGCAGAUCAAGUCUGGAGUAAAAGGUAUGGGCUCAACCCGUACUGGCUCUGGAAACUGAUCAGCUAGAGAACAGAAGAGGACGGCGGAACUCCAUGUGUAGCGGUAAAAUGUGUAGAUAUAUGGAAGAACACCGGUGGCGAAGGCGGCCGUCUGGUCUGAUUCUGACACUGAAGCACGAAAGCGUGGGGAGCAAAUAGGAUUAGAUACCCUAGUAGUCCACGCCGUAAACGAUGAGAACUAGGUGUUGGGGGAAUAACUCAGUGCCGCAGUUAACGCAGUAAGUUCUCCGCCUGGGGAGU